GAUGAAGAACGUAGCGAAAUGCGAUACGUAAUGUGAAUUGCAGAAUUCAGUGAAUCAUCGAGUCUUUGAACGCACAUUGCGCCCCCUGGUAUUCCGGGGGGCAUGCCUGUCCGAGCGUCAUUGCUGCCCUCAAGCACGGCUUGUGUGUUGGGCCUCCGUCCUCCUCCCGGGGGACGGGCCCGAAAGGCAGCGGCGGCACCGCGUCCGGUCCUCGAGCGUAUGGGGCUUCGUCACCCGCUCUUGUAGGCCCGGCCGGCGCUUGCCGACACAUCAAUCUUUUUUCCAGGUUGACCUCGGAUCAGGUAGGGAUACCCGCUGAACUCAAGCAUAUCAAUAAGCGGAGGA
rnacentral:misc_RNA from 1 species